CCCCCAAUAUGUUAGGGUAAAUUAAUUAUUUGUUUUUAAUGCAAGCAUUUACAGCUAUAAAUUUCCUUCUAAGUACCACUUUAACUACACCCCAUAAAUUCUGGUGUGCUGUGUUUAAUUCAUUCCAAGUAUUUUCUAAUUUCCCUCAUGAUUUCUUCUUUGACCCACUUGUUAUUUAGGAGUGUGUUAAUCUUCACAUAAUUGUGAAUUUCUUAAAUUUCUUCUAUUUUUAAUGUCUAGUUUCACUCCAUUGUGGUUAGAGAACAUAUUCUGUAUGAGUUCAAUACUUUAAAUGUAUUGAGAGUUGUUUUAUGGCUCAGCAUAUGGUCUAUCCUGAAUGUUUCACGUGUACUUGAGAAGAAUUAUAUUCUACUGUUGGACUGUCCUACAGAUACUGGUUAGAUAUGGUUGGUAUACAAUGUUGUUCAAGUUUUCCAUUUCUUUGUUGAUCUUGUGUCUGGUUGUUCUAUCUAUUAUUGAAAGUGAGGUACUGGAAGUCAGCAGGAUGCAGUGGUCAAAGAAAGUGAGGUACUGAAGUUUCCAACUAUAACGGCUGAAUUAUCUCUUUUGCUCCUCAUUUCUGUUACCUUCUGUUUUGUGUAUUUUGGGGCUCUAUUGUUAGGCGCAUAUAUAACCAUUACAUCUUCAGGCUGGGUUGACCCUUUAUCAUUAUAAAAUAUCCCUUUUUAUCUCCAGUAACAUUUUUGGGGGGGGUUGUUUUAAAGUCUAUUCUGUCUGAUAUUAGUAUAACCAUUCUAGCUUUCUUAUGGUUGCUAUUACAUUAUCUUUUUCCAUUCUUUUACUUUCAGCAUUUUUGUAUCUUUGAAUCUACAGUGGUAUCUCCUAUAGACCGUAUACAGUUGGAUCCUGAUUUUUUUUUAAAUCCAGUAUGGCAAUAUCUGCCUUUUUAUUUUAUAUACAGCAGAUUUAAUGAAGGCAUCAGAACAGCAGGCUGUGUUGAAAAGUGAGUAAAGAUGUUGACAGUAAAGGAAAAGAGAGGAGAUGACAGCCUAAGGAGGUAAGAGGAUCCAAGGAAUUUUUUUUUGGAAAGGACUCAUUCCUUCUGAGAAUCGGGAGAAAGAAUCUCCUGCUCUGGCUCUCUUAUGGGAGCCAUCAUAGUCCAGCAGGAAGAACAGGUGCUCUGAAGGCAGGCAAAUGUGGACUCAAAAGUCCAGUGUACCACUAACCAGACAUGAAAUCAUAGGCAAGUCUCUUUACCUGAGCCUCAAGAACACAGGGCUAUAAUAUACUACAGGGUAGAAAAUUAAGACUUAGCAUGCAAAAUACCUAGCACAAAACUUGGUACAGAGUAGUAAGUACUUCAAUAAAUGUUAGUCCCCACCCCUAUCCCUUUCAUUAAAAGUUCCCUAAAUGGUCUUAUUUAAUGAAAAUCUUCUAGAUCCUCAAUCAUGUCCCUUACCUCCUGCCUUUCCCUCCCCCUUACAUGACUCCUGGUGAUUAAACCUAUUAUUGCUUGGCCAAACACAAACUGGACAAAAGCAAGAUCCUACCUAAACAGUGUGGCUCUUUAUGCAAACAUCGAACCAGUCACUAUGCUUUGAAUAUAGGCACAGAAGGUACAUGACUGCUGCUCAAAGAGCUCACAGUCUAGAAAGACAUGAAAUAAAUGAACAACUACAGAAAACAGGAAGCCAAGAAGGAGCAAGGAAAUAAUAAUCCAACACCACGACCAACACUUCUUUCUUUGGGGGAAAAGGUUGAUCUUUUCUACAGAAGUGGGAAAUCAUUUUGUGAUCCAGGAAAGUAAAUCUGUCAUAAGCCAA